AACGAACGCUGGCGGCAUGCCUAAUACAUGCAAGUCGAACGAGAUCUUCGGAUCUAGUGGCGCACGGGUGCGUAACGCGUGGGAAUCUGCCCUUGGGUUCGGAAUAACUUCUGGAAACGGAAGCUAAUACCGGAUGAUGACGUAAGUCCAAAGAUUUAUCGCCCCAGGAUGAGCCCGCGUAGGAUUAGGUAGUUGGUGAGGUAAAGGCUCACCAAGCCGACGAUCCUUAGCUGGUCUGAGAGGAUGAUCAGCCACACUGGGACUGAGACACGGCCCAGACUCCUACGGGAGGCAGAAGUAGGGAAUAUUGGACAAUGGGCGAAAGCCUGAUCCAGCAAUGCCGCGUGAGUGAUGAAGGCCUUAGGGUUGUAAAGCUCUUUUACCCGGGAUGAUAAUGACAGUACCGGGAGAAUAAGCGCCGGCUAACUCCGUG
rnacentral:rRNA from 1 species